rnacentral:lncRNA from 1 species
GCCAUGUGUGAGAGAAGCAAGCAAUGCACUGUGACUAGAACAGGGAAGAUGAUGAGAAUUCUGGCUACAGUAUCCACAGGACACACAGAAGACAUCACAAAGCAGCCGGAUCUGUAGACCUGAAGUAUCAGAGAGUGGAGGCUGAAGGUAUUUGAGCAGAGACCAUAAUUUUGUCCUUCUAUCCCUUCUCUUUUUCUUCUUUGAAGUUAUUAUACUCACAGUUUUCACAGAGUAUGUGACUACUGAUUGCCCAGCCUCUCUUGAAGCUACAUAUGGCCAUGUGACUAUAUCCUCAUCGAUGUAAUUUCAGCACAACUGUUGUGUACAAGUUCUUUACCACUUCCUCAGGAGGGAAGUCUUGACCUUCGUUUCCUGGAUAUUGGAACACAGACAUGGUGCUGCUAAACUACUCCGGAUUUUGUAGAUAAGGAUAACACAUUAGGGAAUGGUGGAGCAACAAGAGAGAUGAAAACUGAGUUCUUUGAUGACCUCAUGGGCAAAACGACCCAUCUACCUCUUUGUUACAGCAGCUUAGCCUCACUCUGACUGAUGCAGGGAUCAUCAACAUAUAUUGAAACAUGAGGAUGAAUGAGAUUACCCAGGAAAAGAAGAAAAGAAACUUAAAGGAGCACAAUAAUAAAUAGCCAAUGUCUAAAAGGUGAGCAGAGGCCCUUUGAUGAGACUGAAAAGAAGGAAAACCACAGAGACAGGAAGAGAUCAAGAGAGAGGAGAGGAGUGUUUCAAAAAGGAAGACCCAUUUAGGAAUAUAAAAUGGGGCAGAAGGAAACUAAGAUGGAGAUUAAAAAGAAGCUAAUGAAUUUCGUGACUUUGGCCAGAACAAUGUCAGUGAAGUAAUAGGGUGGACGAAUGGCCUAUUAAAAGUUAAUAGGGUUGGGUGCGGUGGCUCAUGUCUGUAAUCCUAGCUAGCACUUUGGGAGGCUAAGCAGGGCAGAUCGAUUGAGCCCAGAGUUGGAGGCCAGCCUGGGCAACGUAGCAAAACCCUGUCUCUACAAAAAGUACAAAAAGUACUUAGCUAGGUGUGGUGGGACGCUUGUAGUCCCAGCUACUUAAGAGGCUGAGGUGGGAGGAUCCCUUGAGCCAGAGAGGCUGCAGUGAGCCGUAAUUGUGCCACUGCACUCCAGCCUGGGAGACAAAGUGAGACCCUAUCUCAAAAAAAAGAAAGAAAGAAAAAAAUUUAAUAGGAAGGAAAGAAGCAGAUUCAGUUAGGAAAGACUACUGUUUCAAGAAGUAAGAAGAAAUGGAGAAAAACAUAUACAGGUUUGCCCAAAUUCCUAAGUGUGGGGCAAAGUAAAGCCAUGGUAACUCAAAGGAAUUAGAAACCAAAUAAGAGGAUGUAUUUACUGUCCUGGAUCUGGUUGGGCACGCCCAUCAGUCAUAACACCAGAAAUAAGGAAGGAAGUCAAGGUAAGUUUUGAUCCUACCCCAGAACCACCGAUGUGAAGACAACAUCCCAAGAAAAUCACCAACAUUUAAAAAUAACUUGAGAAUCUACAUUUCUGUAAACUUUUUUAGUAAAUACUUGUACGUUGACAGGUAUUUCCAAACUAACAUUGGUGGUGCCUCUAUUACAUGAUGGCAAUAUUAAACCCACACAGACACAAAGGAAGGGAAGUGAAUGUCAGUUAAUUUCCCAGAAGACACACGAUUUCCAUCUAUCACAUCCCUGCAGUUAGAACACUUCCAUUCAACUUCCCCAACCCCAGGAGAGGGCUCCACGUACCUGCCCUUAAUUAAUUGGUUUCUAUUCUCACACCUUCCUCUUAGGUCAUCAUUUUCUGGGAUAAUUGGUAUCUAUGAAAUCUCACUAGAGUCAGUUUCCUUCUACUAAAAAGAAGCUUAAAUUGCAACCUAAGGAAGAAAUCUAUUCUAUAUUUAACUAACUUUGUCCCUGUUGUUUAAUAACUAGUCCUAUUUGCUGCAUCCUGAAGUUAUAUAUACAGGGAAAAGUCAAAAAAAAAAACACCUAAGUACAUAAUGUUCAUCAAUAUUUGAGCCCUAACCUCAGAAAAUUGAUUAUACUGUUGAUUACAAUUUAUUUAUUCUAAUAAUUAGGCAAUAUAUGUUGCAUUACUCCACAUUCUUUUACUUGCUGGUGAACUUUUAUACUCAUAUUUUAAGUACAGAUUUUACCAAAAUAAAAAGUUUUGAUAAGUGUUUUGCAAUUUUGUUAGCAUGGUAGGAUUUUUAUGAACCAAUGUCUACUCCUUUCUACAGCUGUACUUCUUAUUUAAGUUACGUCGUCACAGUGGGGAUACUAUCAUAUAAACCAAGACUGAUAUAAGAAAUUUCUCUCUGAAAUAUGUUGCUGUGCUUGGUGUAAAGAUAAGUUGAAUAUGUUUUUACGUUAUUCCUUAUAUUACACAGCAAACUCCUUCUGAUAUCCCAUGAGAGGAUUUUCUCAUUGAUUCUGGUUCUAGGAAUAGCUAUGAUUCAUGUGAGCAACUGACAUCUUAAUUUUAUGGAUACUAAAAAUCAAAUAACCAAUUGCUUUCUUCACUGGCUCCUAGUAACCUUAACACCAAACAAUGUCCUCCCCCUACAGAUGCAUAAAAUUUUAUGACAAAUAUUUUUAAGAACUAGG